rnacentral:rRNA from 1 species
AUUGAACGCUGGCGGCAGGCCUAACACAUGCAAGUCGAGCGGAGCGGCGGACGGGUGAGUAAUGCCUAGGAAUCUGCCUGGUAGUGGGGGAUAACGUCCGGAAACGGGCGCUAAUACCGCAUACUAUCAGAUGAGCCUAGGUCGGAUUAGCGAGUUGGUGGGGUAAAGGCCUACCAAGGCGACGAUCCGUAACUGGUCUGAGAGGAUGAUCAGUCAGAGUGGAACGGAGACACGGUAAAGACUCCUACGGGAGGCAGCAGUGGGGAGGAUUGGACAAUGGGCGAAAGCCUGGUCCAGCCAUGCGGCGUGUGUGAAGGAGGUCUGCGGAAUGUAAAGCACUUUAAGUUGGGAGGCGUUACCAACAGAGUAAGCACCGGCUAACUUCGGGCCAGCAGGCGCGGUAAUGC